rnacentral:rRNA from 1 species
GACGAACGCUGGCGGCGUGCCUAAUACAUGCAAGUUGAGCGCUGAAGGUUGGUACUUGUACCAACUGGAUGAGCAGCGAACGGGUGAGUAACGCGUGGGGAAUCUGCCUUUGAGCGGGGGACAACAUUUGGAAACGAAUGCUAAUACCGCAUAAAAACUUUAAACACAAGUUUUAAGUUUGAAAGAUGCAAUUGCAUCACUCAAAGAUGAUCCCGCGUUGUAUUAGCUAGUUGGUGAGGUAAAGGCUCACCAAGGCGAUGAUACAUAGCCGACCUGAGAGGGUGAUCGGCCACAUUGGGACGGAGACACGGCCCAAACGCCUACGGGAGGCAGCAGUAGGGAAUCUUCGGCAAUGGACGAAAGUCUGACCGAACAACGCCGCGUGAGUGAAGAAGGAUUUCGGGUCGUAAAACUCUGUUGGUAGAGAAGAACGUUGGUGAGAGUGGAAAGCUCAUCAAGUGACGGUAACUACCCAGAAAGGGACGGCUAACUACGUG